rnacentral:lncRNA from 1 species
CGCCGGGGGAGGGGGCGGGCGCGGCGGCGCGGGCCCCGCCGAGGGGGGACACCUGGCUGAGGCACAGCUGCCGCCGUGCCUUUCCGCGCGAGCCCAGAGCUCCGAUCCCUGCGCGGGCUCGAGAGCUCGCCCCGAACGGGGGUCUUCCUCCUCCGCCGUUGACAGGUUUUGACCUGUAGCAGAGAACCAAUUCUGGAGAACAGCCUCACUUCUUUGAUUGAAUACUUACAUAAUGCAUUGGAACAUGACAUGAGAUUAAGGUUUAAUAAUGAUAGAAUGAAGACCACAAUAAAAGAGACCUCUACUUAGCUCAGCAAUUCUUACCUUUCUUACCUAUUUGAUGAAGAUGUCUUUUGAAAGGUGUACUGCAAGGAACAAAAUGUUUGUAAAUUCUCCUUUUACCAAGGUGGAUAAUUACUGUACCUUCCUCAUGGAAAAAGUUUUAUUUAAAGUGUUAUUUCUCAUUGAAUACUAUCAAAAAGGAAAAAAAAAUGACCUAAACUUUUGAGAUAGAUUUGGCUCUAGUGUAAAUUUUGAUACCACCAUUGCCGCCUUCCCCUCAAAAAAGGGGAUGUGGAGACGCUGGUAGCGGGGCCAGGAAGGCUCCGGACGGAGCAGGUUUUCUGGACCACAGACACACUGCCCCGGCGCCCUCCGCAGGCCGCUCCUCCCCAGGCCCAUGACAGUGCCCCGCUGGUUUCUGCCGCGCUGCCGGACUGGAGCUCAGACGGCCUUCGCCAGCCCCCCCAACCCACGCAGAUCCCUGCUGACCUGGGCAACUCCCCACCCUCGCUGAAGGUUCGAGGACCACCCCGCUUUCCCGAGAGGAGCCGGGCGGCGGGUACUUAUCUCCGACCUCCGGCUAGUGGGAAAGGCCGCGCGACCGCCCGUCCUCCAACUACAGGGACCGCACGGAACAAAAAAAAAAGCCCAACCCUUCACACCACUUCAUCCGCAUCUCAAGACCAGAAGCCGACCCCAGCGGCUUGGGGAAAUGGAGCCCCGCACCCCACAAGGGGGAGGGUGGGACGGGCACCUCCGCACUGCGCGGCCUGCGGAGUCACCGAUUCGCGUUGGGAGCGCGCCAGGAGCGCCAGGGCUCUAGCCGGGGGCUCCGGGCAAGGCGCAACCAGAAAAGGGUUCAGUAUCCCCCAUCACCCCCACCCCCAACCGUACCCUCUUUCUUUGCGGGCUUUAGGCAGGACACCAGAGACCCAAUUCUAUUUAAAAUUCUCUUUUAAGAAAAGGAACGCCUGUUUUUGCCUUUGGGGGAAAGGAUGAACUUUCAAAUUGGCUUUAAAUUAUCCACCACUAACAGUUACUCAGUCGAUAACCUGACUAUUCUGACGUCCACCUCCCGUUUGAGGACCUUGCCCAAUAGCAAACGUACUAAGCACUUAACCAGUGAACGGUGUGAAGGAUGCAAACAUGGAUGAUGAAGGAAUGGCUCCUCCAGAAUUUACGAUCUUGGGAGAAGUGAGGCGAGUAUAGAAUCUCAGAACACGCUGUAGGAUUGAGUUCGAUCCCAGUUGAGGAAGUUUGGGUUUGGGGAGGAAAUAGGUUAUUUUGGAGAAACGGUAUUCAAAACCUACCAUAAAUAGCAGUACAGCCCGUUGACUAAUAAUGCUUAGCCCAACCCCCGUAAAAAGCCCCUGGCCACAUCCGUCUCCUGAGAUUCCCACUUCUCUGUGUGCAUCUCCCUUCCUGCUAUAAGAAACCUAACUUUGCCUUCGUAGAACACUUCUUUUAAUUUCUGUCAUUCAGUCUCAUAACACUGUGUAAAAGAAAUUAUGAUCUUCAUCCUAUAUAGAUGAGAAAACAGGUGAAGUGACUUUUCCAAGGUACAAAAGCAAGAGGCAGAGCUGAGGCUAAAGGCAGCUUCCAGAUAUGGGCUCUUUCUACAGCACCAUAACUGUCAGUGACAAAACUGCACCCCAGUACCUUACUAAAUUUAGUGUUUUUAGGCCAGGCACGGUGGCUCACGCCUGUAAUCCCAGCACUUUGGGAGGUCGAGGCGGGCAGAUCACCUGAGGUCAGGAGUUCCAGACCGGACUGACCAACAUGGUGAAACCUGGUCUCUACUAAAAAUACAAAAAUUAGCCGGUCAUGGUGCCGUAUGCCUGUAGUCCCAGCUACUUGAGAGGCUGAGGCAGGAGAAUAGCUUGAACCCGGGAGAUGGAGGUUGCAGUGAGCCGAGAUCCUACCACUGCACUCCAGCCUGGGCAACAGAGCAAGACUCCGUCUCAAUAACUAAAUUAAUUAAUUAAUUUAGUGUUUCUAAAAAAACAAAGUGAUCUGUAGAAACAUCUCAUUUAUUUGUUGUCAUUGUGUGUUGAUUGAUUUUGAGACAGGGUCUAUCUCUGUCCCCCAGGCUGGAGUGCAGUAGCAUGAUCAUGGCUCACUACAGCCUCAAGCCCCUGGGCCCAAGUUAUCCUCCUCCCUUAGCCUCCCAAGUAGCUGGGACCACAGACAUGCGCCACCACGCCUGGCUAAUUUUAUUUUUUGUAAAGAUAGAGUCUCACUAUGUUGCCCAGGCUGGUGUCAAACUCCUGGGCUCAAGUGUUCCUCAGGCCUCAGCCUCCCAAAGUGCUGGGAUUACAGGCGUGAGCCACCACACCCAGCCAUAUGGAAACAUUUCAGAUAUCCUAAUAUUAAAAUGAUAUUUCACAAGACUGGACAGUUAUUAACUCAUGUGAAAGGAAAAUCUUGGGGCCCCAAAAUCACUAAGCUAAAGGAAAAAGUCAAGCUUCGGAGAACUGCUUAGGGCAAACCUGCCUCCCAUUCUAUUCAAAGUCAUCCCUCUGCUCACUGAGAUAAAUGAAUAUCUGAUUGCCUCCUUUGGAAAGGGUAACCAGAAACUCAAAAGAAUGCAGUGAUUUGCCUCUUAUCUCCCUAAAACCUGGAAGCCCGCCCCCUGUUUUGAGUUGUCCCACCUUUGCUUCAAGUCGUCCCACCUUUUCUGGACUGAACCAGUGUUCAUCUUACACACGCUGAUUGAUGUCUCGUGUCUUCCUAAAAUGUACAAAACCAAACUGCUCUGACCACCUCGGGUUCUGACCUCCUGAAGCUGUAUCAUGGGCACGCAUCCUCAACCGUGGCAAAAUAAACUUUCUAAAUUAACUGGGACAUGGCUCAGAUUUUUAGGGUUCACACGCAAAACCCACAAAUUAUCCUUAAUAUAAUUAUAUAAUAUAUAUUUAUGUAGUUAGAUCUGGUUGGUGGUAGAUACUAAUACACUUUUGCCCAACUAAGUGUAAAACACAUUAAAUCUGUAUAGCAAUCUCUAGACUAUUACACAAAAUUAACUACUAACUAGAAAACACAGUAUAUUAAAUUCUCUUAAGUGUGGAAAAAUGGAGAAGGAAGAAUAACCUUUUCUCUCCUCCCGUGGUCCUAAUACACAGAACAGCGACUGGGAAACUGCCACUAGAAAAAGAUGACUGUCCAACUAAAACCUGCAUACACAGCUACAUCCUUCCCUGGAAGAGCACAGUGGAACUAGAUCCUAGUACAGAUAGCACAGGGAUUGUCAACAUUCUUGUCACACUGAAAUUUCCUUCUACUGAUCUCCAAGUAAGUAACUAACAGCUGAAACUUGGAAUUUAUAUAUCAGCACAGCACGAAGACUAUAGAUAUAUCUAGUCUUAUGUAAGUUUCAUAUUGUGUGAUAAAUGUAUUGCCCCCCCCGCCCCCGAAUGCCGGCCCCUUGAGAAAUAUAUUUUUACAGGGUAGAAUUUCUAAUAUAUAUAAAAUGCAUAAUGUUAAAUAAUGUUUAUAUAUUAAUAUGUUAUAUACUAAUAUUAAAUAUAAAAUAUACUGCAUAUUAUAUUUUUAAUAUAAAAUGUAUAUUAUUGCAUUGAUUUACUUCCUGGUGUUGUUUUCAUUCCUGGGCCUUGACAAAGAUAAAAACUUCUCAGCCUUCCUCCCCACCUACCCAGACAGAAAUGAUCAGAUGUUCCAUAACAAAAGGGACAGUGCCAAAUUUAGUGUACACUGAAAUGUAAAUUGUCAGAGUGAGGAACAUCUAAUAACAAAGCCUGGAGCAACUGUGCAUAGGGGAAGGGGUCUGGUAAGCCUCCCUAGAUACAAUGGAACUUUUUUAUUAUUAUUCUAUCCUUCCAUUUAGCUGCCAGAGUCAUAGAUGCAAGCCCCAACAUUCCCCAGUGAGAAUUCCUGCCACUAAAAGACACUGACAGUGCAAGAUGUAGAGAAAAGAGCAUAGGCUUUGGAAUCAGUUCUGCAUCCAAACUCUAGCUCUGCCAUUUACUAGUUGUUAAAGUUACUUAGCAUCUCUAAGCCUCGGUUUCCUCAUUUGUAAAAUGGAAAUCAUGAUACAUUUGAUCAUGAAAAUUAGGUAACAUAUAAAGCAACCAACAUUGCGUCUGAUGUAUAGUAGGUGUUUAAUAAGUAAUUGGUGCUGUUAUAUGCAAAAAGAAAACCAUGCUCAUUUGUAAGCAUGAUUUCCCUAGAUUUGUAAACUUAGGACUCAAGUACAAUAGUCUUAAGCAGAGCUAAACUGCCUAUGCAGUAAAAGAAGCUAGCACCAUAAUUUCUGCUUUUCUGCAUCUAGCCCAGGGUGGCUUUUCAAAAGCAUAUAUCCCUCUGCUUUUAUACCUCUUCCCCUGUGCUUGGAGAAAGGAGAGAAAAACAAUAAACAUCAAACUCAAUGAAAGAAAGACCUUACUGUUUUUUGGGUUUUUUAAAGUUCUGUAUUUUUGGAGAAAUUGAACAUUCAAAUAUUCCAUUAAAAGGAAGGUAAAAAUGUAUUUAUCACAAAACACAGGAACUUACCUAAGACUUGAUGAAAUUAAAGGGAAUUAGUCCCUAGUUUGAGGAAAAUUCCAGACUCUCUAUAUUUCAGUUGCACAGUGAAGAGUAUGCAUUAAAUGGAGACAACAGCAAGAUCAGUUUCUUUGAAAGAGAAUGAGAGACACUUAAGCAAUAGUAAACUUGACGUUUAGUUAUACUAUUUCUGUAGAUAGAAAAGCUGUAAGAAUAAAGUAAAAUAGGUCAGAGGUAAUUAAGGUAAUACUAGUAUAUGCUUAUAAUUUUAUACUCACUCAAAUUUUAUAAUUCUCAGGAUUGUGCUAGGCAUCAAAGGUAAUUCCC